rnacentral:rRNA from 1 species
UACGUAGGUGGCAAGCGUUGUCCGGAUUUACUGGGCGUAAAGAGCGCGCAGGCGGCUGGCCAAGUCCGAUGUGAAAGCUCCCGGCUUAACUGGGAAACUGCAUCGGAAACUGGUCGGCUUGAAGGUGGGAGAGGGUAGCGGAAUUCCCGGUGUAGUGGUGAAAUGCGUAGAUAUCGGGAGGAACACCAGUGGCGAAGGCGGCGACCUGGGCCAAUACUGACGCUGAGGUGCGAAAGCGUGGGGAGCAAACAGG